CUUUGCAUUACAUCCUCGCGACUAAUGACAACCUUUAUCCUGCCCAUGCAGGUAAAGCCUCUCAUUAGCCGCGCGAACCUCUGCAAUGAAAGAUCAUAAUUAAAACAACAAUACACUACUCUGUUUUUCUGACGCUUCCUAGAAGAAAGGGGCCUGCAAAAGGCCCCUUCCU
rnacentral:sRNA from 1 species